rnacentral:rRNA from 1 species
GCAGUCGGACGGCAGCACAGAGAAGCUUGCUUCUUGGGUGGCGAGUGGCGAACGGGUGAGUAAUAUAUCGGAACGUACCGAGUAGUGGGGGAUAACUAAUCGAAAGAUUAGCUAAUACCGCAUAUUCUCUGAGGAGGAAAGCUGGGGACCUUCGGGCCUAGCGCUAUUUGAGCGGCCGAUAUCUGAUUAGCUAGUUGGUGGGGUAAAGGCCUACCAAGGCGACGAUCAGUAGCGGGUCUGAGAGGAUGAUCCGCCACACUGGGACUGAGACACGGCCCAGACUCCUACGGGAGGCAGCAGUGGGGAAUUUUGGACAAUGGGCGCAAGCCUGAUCCAGCCAUGCCGCGUGUAUGAAGAAGGCCUUCGGGUUGUAAAGUACUUUUGUCAGGGAAGAAAAGCAUAGUGCUAAUAUCACUGUGUGAUGACGGUACCUGAAGAAUAAGCACCGGCUAACUACGUGCCAGCAGCCGCGGUAAUACGUAGGGUGCGAGCGUUAAUCGGAAUUACUGGGCGUAAAGCGAGCGCAGACGGUUAGUUAAGCAAGAUGUGAAAUCCCCGGGCUCAACCUGGGAACUGCGUUUUGAACUGGCUAGCUAGAGUGUGUCAGAGGGGGGUAGAAUUCCACGUGUAGCAGUGAAAUGCGUAGAGAUGUGGAGGAAUACCGAUGGCGAAGGCAGCCCCCUGGGAUAACACUGACGUUCAUGCUCGAAAGCGUGGGUAGCAAACAGGAUUAGAUACCCUGGUAGUCCACGCCCUAAACGAUGUCAAUUAGCUGUUGGGCAACUUGAUUGCUUAGUAGCGUAGCUAACGCGUGAAAUUGACCGCCUGGGGAGUACGGUCGCAAGAUUAAAACUCAAAGGAAUUGACGGGGACCCGCACAAGCGGUGGAUGAUGUGGAUUAAUUCGAUGCAACGCGAAGAACCUUACCUGGUCUUGACAUGUACGGAAUCCUCCAGAGACGGAGGAGUGCCUUCGGGA